rnacentral:rRNA from 1 species
AAAACAAAUAAUAAAAACUUUCAACAACGGAUCUCUUGGUUCCAGCAUCGAUGAAGAACGCAGCGAAAUGCGAUAAGUAAUGUGAAUUGCAGAAUUCAGUGAAUCAUCGAAUCUUUGAACGCACAUUGCGCCCCCUGGUAUUCCGGGGGGCAUACCUGUUCGAGCGUCAUU